AAGUUUAGGUAGUUCUUCAAUCAAGACUACAUUGAACAAGGAUGGUGAUGCAGCUUAUACAGCAGAAAACACUGUUGGUGCUGAAAUAGUUCGUACAAGAGAAUGACUAUGGAUCACUUAAUUAAGGUGUGUAUUGCUUUCCAAUUUAAUUUUAUGCCUAAAGCAAUAGAAAGCUGAACUUCUAUCUGAAUCAGAAAGUAGACACUCUGUAGAUAAACAAUAAAGCAUACUGCUUUUGUUGACUCUAAUUCAUUCUCAAUAUGGAUUU
rnacentral:lncRNA from 1 species